rnacentral:lncRNA from 1 species
ACCCCCGUUACCCCCAGUUUCUCUGCAUUUUGACCCCAUUACCCCGUUUUUUCCCAUUUUUUCCCAUUUUUUGCCCGUUUUUGCCCGUUUUUUCCCUUUUUCGCCCCAAUACCGGUGAUGAGGUUGCAGCUCAUGAAGGUCUGGGUGAGCUCCUCGGGGUAGCGGUACUCGGCGUACCAGAUGGACCAGCCGUCCUUAUCGAAGUGCUCCCAGAAGUGGGGCAGCGCCACGCUCAGCGUGUCCUCGUUGGAGUAUUUGCGCUUGAACUCGUCGAUGACGAAGGGGCUGGGGGGGGGGGGCAGGCAAAAACGGGGGGGAAAAAGUGAAAUUGGAGAAGGAUAAAAUUAGAAAAAGCAACAGAAGCGGUGCAGAGGCAGAGUAAAAAAGGGAACGAAAUUAAAUUGGAGAUGGAUUAUAAAAAAAUAAUGGGUGAAAAUUGGGUCUGGGGUCACGG